GUGAAUUGAGCUGAUAAUGUGCAGUAUUUUGAGACAUAUAUUUGCACAAUUUUGAGCGUAAGUUUUAUAUUGAUUUGGUCUGCAGCAGCUCUAGACUACUAGGCAGUUUAUAUGCAUAACUGAAGUUCUGUUUGGUUUCGUGAGCUUUUGAUUGCUCUUCCAUGUUUGUGAUCUUUUUUUAGACUUGAAGUUUAUUUCCUUUAACUUUUUCUGUUGUGGGAAGAGUUUGAGUUCAUGUUGGCAAGACAGAAAGUUGGCCUUACUGCCCUCGUCUGGUCAUCUGAUGUCGAGAAGGUAUAUUGAAGAUCUAUUUAAUUUCUCUGAAGUUCCUGCAUUUGAGUGAAAGUUUUUUCUUCACUGAUCAAGACCUUUUUUGAUAUUAUCGGAAUCUUGUAGUCUAUUAAGCCAUCCUGUUCUUUUAGUUCCUAAAUGAUUGAAUUGUGCUUGAUUUUCUCCACAACUAUGUUUGUUUGGUUUGAAUCAUGAUCAGUAGAUUUUGUUCCUAAAGUAAUGAGUUACCUGGAUGCUUAGCUUACCGGGAACCUUCUGUAUAUUACUAAAAUGUGCUUUUCAUGACUUUGUUGGUUUGGUUCCGACAAGUUCGAGUUUGAAGUCAUUUUUCCUGUGUUGCUUCUCUGAUCUGCUUGGAUUAGCUUUCUGCACGCAUUUGUCAAUUUCACUGCUGUAAUAAUCUUGCUCUUUCGAGCUGCUGAAGACUCAAUUUCAGCAGUAGAUUGAGCCGAAAACGCAUAGUAUUUUGGUUAUUUGUUUGGACUGUUGGCCUGUUGAAGAUCUGCCCUGUUUUUGCACUGUUUAGGCAGCAAAUCUGCACAAUUUUAACUUAGCUGCUAACAUGCUUUUGGUUACUCUUGGGCCCUUGCUUUCCAUUCGGGCCAAUUUUUGGCCCAUGUGGUCUCUAAGCUUGUGCCUGUUUCAAAGAUACAAUUCAAGGAUUAAAUAGCAUGAAUU
rnacentral:lncRNA from 1 species